AACCUCUGUCUCUAGCAGUGGCUGCUCCUUGUUUUUUACUGUUUUCCCAGCCCAUUUUCCCUCUUCCUGACUCACAAUAGGCCUUUCUCUUUGUUUGCGGUUUUCUGAGACAUGUUGCUACAGAGUGGUCCAAGAAAUCGCACGUACUGACUGCAGAAGAGCUGCCUUGAAUAGAAAAUGAAGGAAGUUUGUUUUGGCACAUUUUUGUCUCUCAGCUUGUGUCAUGCCUUCUCAGUUUGCUUUGCAGGGCUUAUGUCAGUAAAUAGUUAAUAAUUAGAGUCAGAUGAAGCAUACUGCAAAGUAUCCGAGCACUAAGCUUGAGUAUUCGAAGUAAAUGACUGGUCUCUUUCACUACUGCUACUUACUAAAAGUAGGUAUUUUGAAGGUGGCACUAGGGAAGAACACGUCGCACAGACAUUGACCUCUGGGAAAGAAAAUGGGUAGCACUUCAGGACUGGAUGGUGAAAAGCUCACCAAUAAAGAAAGGAUUUGCAACACAGACAUGAAGACCAAAACAGCCUGCUGUUCAAAAUUAAAGAUGUUCAUUGUGGCACUGUCCUUUGCCUAUUUUUCCAAAGCCUUGUCGGGUACAUACAUGAAGAGCUCCAUAACACAGAUAGAGAGAAGAUUUGACCUCUCAAGUUCCCACAUUGGACUCAUUGAUGGAAGUUUUGAAAU